GUCUCAGCAAUCGUUGAGUUUUCUGAGUUGUUUGCUAACUGUCAAACACAAAUUUCACAAAAUUUUCGCGUUGGCUUCGGAACGAACCUUUAGAGAAGCACCAAAUUAUCAGAUCCCAUCGAACUGAUCUGAAAGUGAUGGAUUCGGCUUUGGCUCAAGUCAUAAAGUUUAUUCGAAUAUUUCAUAAGGCAGAUGGGGAUGGGUAGAUGACAAAAAUGGCCUUAUUGGCGUUAUGGAUUUCAUGGAUGUACGAAACUUACAAUGAAUAAUAAAUUAAAUUAAAAA